AGAAAUGAGAGAUUGGAAAGAAGGCAGACUACUUGGAGAGGAAUACAUAAAGAGUUGAUGGAAGCUUUGAUUCAAAGAGAUCAGGACAAACUAAAAAUCCACCAUCAGAAGAUCAUGUCAGAGAUGUUAAAAGAGCUGCAGGUUUCGGCAUUAAUGGAUUUUGAAGGAAGAAUUGCAAGAGAAGAAAAGAGGCAAACCAUACACAAAGAGCUGAUGGUAAGUUUUCAAUGCUUAUCCUUAUCUUAUAUAUU